rnacentral:rRNA from 1 species
GAGCCUACGGGAGGCAGCAGUGGGGAAUAUUGCACAAUGGGGGAAACCCUGAUGCAGCGACGCCGCGUGAGUGAAGAAGUAUCUCGGUACGUAAAGCUCUAUCAGCAGGGAAGAAAAUGACGGUACCUGACUAAGAAGCCCCGGCUAACUACGUGCCAGCAGCCGCGGUAAUACGUAGGGGGCAAGCGUUAUCCGGAUUUACUGGGUGUAAAGGGAGCGUAGGCGGCCUGCUAAGUCUGGAGUGAAAGGUACCGGCUCAACCGGUACAGGCUCUGGAAACUGGC